rnacentral:rRNA from 1 species
GACCCUAUAGAGUUUUAUAUUUAGUUAAUAAAUUAUUUUUUAGAAUUUAAUAUUAAUUUAUUUAUUAAAUAUUUGAUUGGGGUGAUUGAAAAAUUUGAAUAACUUUUUUUAUAUUUAAACAUUAAUUUAUGAUUAUUUGAUCCAUUAUUUAUGAUUAUAAGAUUAAAUUACCUUAGGGAUAACAGCGUAAUUUUUUUUGAGAGUUCAAAUCGAAAGAAAAGAUUGCGACCUCGAUGUUGGAUUAAAAUUUAUUUUUGGUGUAGAAGCUAAAAUUAUUGGGUCUGUUCGACCUUUAAAAUUUUACAUGAUCUGA